rnacentral:lncRNA from 1 species
AGAAAGAGUGAAGAGAAGCCCUGUAUUUAUACAAGUUGGACAACCCGAGUCAAGAAGGAAUCGCAAGCUCAUUCCUACUGGGAAUCCAGCUCCAACAACAGUCAGAAGCCUACACCAAUUGGGAAUUCGAUUUGCAAAAGGAGUCCAACUCACAGAAUAAAGCCCAGACACAGUCGGAGAGCCCGAAAAAAAUAAUUUCACCUCCUACAUGCCACACAAACGCCAUGCAGAAGCUGGGGGGCAUUUGUGGGAGCAAAUAUUUCUGUCUCCAAUCACGGCACUGUUUGGGCCUAAAUUUAGCACGCCAAAGUUCAAAAGACAGGCCCAUGG